rnacentral:piRNA from 1 species
CAAGCUCAUAAACGCUGUCCGAGCAGGUGUC